GGAAAUGAUGAUACAUUUUGUCGCCCCAGUCUUACUUGCAUUUGAUGCAAGUUGGUGAUUGACAUUUUUAUCUGAUUC
rnacentral:snoRNA from 1 species